UACGGGGGGGGCAAGCGUUGUUCGGAAUUACUGGGCGUAAAGGGCUCGUAGGCGGCCAACUAAGUCAGGCGUGAAAUCCCUCGGCUUAACCGGGGAACUGCGUCUGAUACUGGAUGGCUUGAGGUUGGGAGAGGGAUGCGGAAUUCCAGGUGUAGCGGUGAAAUGCGUAGAUAUCUGGAGGAACACCGGUGGCGAAGGCGGCAUCCUGGACCAAGUCUGACGCUGAGGAGCGAAAGCCAGGGGAGCAAACGGG
rnacentral:rRNA from 1 species